rnacentral:rRNA from 1 species
CCUACGGGAGGCAGCAGUGGGGCAUAUUGCACAAUGGGGGAAACCCUGAUGCAGCGACGCCGCGUGAGUGAAGAAGUAAUUCGUUAUGUAAAGCUCUAUCAGCAGGGAAGAAAAUGACGGUACCUGAGUAAGAAGCCCCGGCUAACUACGUGCCAGCAGCCGCGGUAAUACGUAGGGGGCAAGCGUUAUCCGGAUUUACUGGGUGGAAAGGGAGCGUAGACGGCAGUGCAAGUCUGGAGUGAAAGGCGGGGGCUCAACCCCCGGACUGCUCUGGAAACUGUACGGCUGGAGUGCAGGAGAGGUAAGUGGAAUUCCUAGGGUAGCGGUGAAAUGCGUAGAUAUUAGGAGGAACACCAGUGGCGAAGGCGGCUUACUGGACUGUAACUGACGUUGAGGCUCGAAAGCGUGGGGAGCAAACAGGAUUAGAUACCCCUGUAGUC